AACAUCUAAGUACCCCGAGGAAAAGAAAUCAACCGAGAUUCCGAAAGUAGCGGCGAGCGAAAUUGGACUAGCCCUUAAGCUUUACACGCGUUAGACGAACGGUCUGGAAAGUCCGACGAUACAGGGUGAUAGUCCCGUAGUUGACGACGUGUGUUCAGUGAAAUCGAGUAGGGCGGGACACGUGAUAUCCUGUCUGAAUAUGGGGGGACCAUCCUCCAAGGCUAAAUACUACUGACUGACCGAUAGUGAACCAGUACCGUGAGGGAAAGGCGAAAAGAACCCCUGUGAGGGGAGUGAAAUAGAACCUGAAACCGUGUACGUACAAGCAGUAGGAGCAGGCUUUGUCCUGUGACUGCGUACCUUUUGUAUAAUGGGUCAGCGACUUAUAUUCAGUGGCAAGGUUAACCAUCUAGGGGAGCCGUAGGGAAACCGAGUCUUAACUGGGCGUUCAGUCUCUGGAUAUAGACCCGAAACCAGGUGAUCUAGCCAUGGGCAGGUUGAAGGUUGAGUAACAUCAACUGGAGGACCGAACCGACUAAUGUUGAAAAAUUAGCGGAUGACUUGUGGCUAGGGGUGAAAGGCCAAUCAAACCUGGAGAUAGCUGGUUCUCCCCGAAAGCUAUUUAGGUAGCGCCUCGGACGAAUACUACUGGGGGUAGAGCACUGUUAAGGCUAGGGGGUCAUCCCGACUUACCAACCCUUUGCAAACUCCGAAUACCAGUAAGUACUAUCCGGGAGACACACGGCGGGUGCUAACGUCCGUCGUGGAGAGGGAAACAACCCAGACCGCCAGCUAAGGUCCCAAAUUACUACUAAGUGGGAAACGAUGUGGGAAGGCUCAGACAGCCAGGAUGUUGGCUUAGAAGCAGCCAUCAUUUAAAGAAAGCGUAAUAGCUCACUGGUCGAGUCGGCCUGCGCGGAAGAUGUAACGGGGCUAAGUAGUAAACCGAAGCUGCGGCAAUAUACUUUUGUAUAUUGGGUAGGGGAGCGUUCUGUAAGCGGUUGAAGGUGUGUGGUAACGCAUGCUGGACGUAUCAGAAGUGCGAAUGCUGACAUGAGUAACGAUAAAGGGGGUGAAAAACCUCCUCGCCGGAAGACCAAGGGUUCCUGUCCAACGUUAAUCGGGGCAGGGUAAGUCGACCCCUAAGGCGAGGCCGAAAGGCGUAGUCGAUGGGAAACGGGUUAAUAUUCCCGUACUUCUUACAAUUGCGAUGGGGGGACGGAGAAGGCUAGGUGGGCCUGGCGACGGUUGUCCAGGUUCAAGUGCGUAGGCUUAAGAGUUAGGUAAAUCCGGCUCUUUCUAAGGCUGAGACACGACGUCGAGCACCUACGGGUGUGAAGUCAUUGAUGCCAUGCUUCCAGGAAAAGCCUCUAAGCUUCAGAUUGUAAGGAAUCGUACCCCAAACCGACACAGGUGGUCGGGUAGAGAAUACCAAGGCGCUUGAGAGAACUCGGGUGAAGGAACUAGGCAAAAUGGUACCGUAACUUCGGGAGAAGGUAC
rnacentral:rRNA from 1 species